rnacentral:rRNA from 1 species
CCUACGGGUGGCAGCAGUGAGGAAUAUUGGUCAAUGGCCGUAAGGCUGAACCAGCCAAGUAGCGUGAGGGAAGACUGCCCUAUGGGUUGUAAACCUCUUUUAUGCGGGGAUAAAGUUGUCCACGUGUGGCUGUUUGCAGGUACCGUAUGAAUAAGGAACGGCUAAUUCCGUGCCAGCAGCCGCGGUAAUAAGGAAGGUCCGGGCGUUAUCCGGAUUUAUUGGGUUUAAAGGGAGCGUAGGCCGGUCUUUAAGCGUGCCGUGAAAUUUUGUGGCUCAACCAUGAAAGUGCGGUGGGAACUGGAGGCCUUGAGUGCGCGGGAGGCAGGCGGAAUGCGUGGUGUAGCGGUGAAAUGCUUAGAUAUCACGAAGAACCCCGAUUGCGAAGGCAGCCUACCGAAGCAUAACUGACGCUGAAGCACGAAAGCGCGGGUAUCGAACAGGAUUAGAUACCCGGGUAGUC